AUAAAACAUAAGUAAUUGAAAGAGACUUACCUGUAUGUGUUAGUCCUUCCACAAUAUUCAAACACACUUCUAGAGGAAGUCAUGUGAUAAGCACCUUGCGAUUUAUUACUCCUAAAUUGUACCUUGGAGGAAUUUCGGGUAGCCACGGAGAUAUCCUACCAUUGACAGUUAUCGUUAGAGGUACGAGUGUUUUUUUGGAAGAUGUUUGAUCACAGUUGGUCGAGAACGACACCAGAUGAACAUUCUCGCUUUUCGUGGAUGAUAAAGCGUCCAUUCUUCCGAUAGCAGCAUCGACGCGUUGGGAUAGGAACCAGAGGUUGAGAAGACAAUUCAAAAAAUCUGUAACAAAGCAACAUAAUCAUAAAUAAAAUGAGAAAAAUCUAUCUUUAAUGCUU